rnacentral:rRNA from 1 species
GAGUUUGAUCGUGGCUCAGAUUGAACGCUGGCGGCAUGCCUUACACAUGCAAGUCGAACGGCAGCACGGGAGCUUGCUCCUGGUGGCGAGUGGCGAACGGGUGAGUAAUGCAUCGGAACGUAUCCUGGAGUGGGGGAUAACGUAGCGAAGGUUACGCUAAUACCGCAUAUUCUGUGAGCAGGAAAGCGGGGGACCUUCGGGCCUCGCGCUCUUGGAGCGGCCGAUGUCGGAUUAGCUAGUUGGUGAGGUAAAGGCUCACCAAGGCGACGAUCCGUAGCAGGUCUGAGAGGAUGAUCUGCCACACUGGAACUGAGACACGGUCCAGACUCCUACGGGAGGCAGCAGUGGGAAUUUUGGACAAUGGGGGCAACCCUGAUCCAGCCAUGCCGCGUGAGUGAAGAAGGCCUCGGUU